GAUAAGGGCCAUACCACCCUGAACAUGCCCAAUCUGAUCUCAGAAGCUAAGCAGGGUUGGGCCUGGUUAGUACUUGGAUGGGAGACUCUUUAAUGUUUUUGAGUGUGGACCAUGUAACCCUCAAAC
rnacentral:rRNA from 1 species